UGUCUUGCCUAACAUCUUAAUUAACUCCAUUAUAAGUGAAUGACAUCAUUCAUCUCUGUUGUAUAAAUUGAAUGCAAGUUCAUGGCUACCUCCAGGACUCAGCUGAACCCCAAGGAACGAGAAUGGCCACCUCAGUCCUUCAUAUGAUGAUGGCCAUAGGGCUGUUAACUUUGAUUCUUCCCUGCCAUGCUGGUGAUGAGCUAUCCAAUUAUGGUGAAAAUUCAGACAAGGAUCUCCCAUCAGUCUUGAACUUUCUAGGCACUGGGAUUAUUGAUUCUGCAGUAAACUAUGUCCUCAAUUCAAUAUAUCAGAAAUCUGGCUUUUUGGAAUGGCAAGAAGAUUCAAAAAAUGAUUCAGAAUAAUAGAGCUCCUGACAACUCCCGCCAGCUAGCUGAAUCAGAUCCACCACGCUGCUGCCCUCCUGGACAUCUUUGUUCCAUCCCAAGAUCCUUUCAUUGAACCCUUUCUACCUCCAGUUCUGGGAACAGUAAUCAAACCAACAUUAGCAAUCCUAGAAAUCAUAUGUCAAUCAAUUGUCCUAUGGCUCCACUGUGACUUCUUAGUCCAAAACACCACUCCCUGGCCACCAGUCCAUUAUGUGAAUUGCCUUUCCUUAUUAGAAUAAGAUCUUUGAAAACAAGGACCAUAAUCGGCAAUGAAUACUGGGACAGUGGAAAGCUCAGUAGAAAGCACCAACCAAAAUACACCAUACACCAAACUAGGCAGAGAUCUUAUGUACCAUGAGAAUAGUAGAAGGCAGACUUGCUAGAGGUAAGUGCUAUGAUAUCACCAGAAGACAUCAGUAGCCCUAAGGUGUCAAAAGCUUGAGUUGGUCCUCCAUAUGUGUCUUGCAACAUACAUACCCUACCCCACCCACACAUAUUCCCUGCAUGCACGCCCCUCCACAUGUGCCCUGGCUAUAUAUGUCCCUUAUGUGUCUGUUUCAUCUUGCAUGUUCUCUAGGUAUAUCCUCUCAUCUCACUGAUGUAUAUAUUUAUGGAAAAAUGUGCUCCAGUUCAUGAAGGAAAUACUGUUUUGCUACUUUCAUUAUGCUAUUUCAUUAAAUGCUUUGCUUUGAAAUAGUUGUUUUCUCUAGUUGAGUAGUAAAUGCAUUCAUAGGGGCACAUGAGCCAUGGUUUUGUGUUGAUGUUGACCACCAGAAUACACUGACCUAGAGUAGAUUGUGUAGAGGGAGACAAAUGAGAGGGAGGUUACCCCAGAUGCUAUAUCCAAUAUUACCCAAAGAUGCCAAACUAGGGAAGGAAGAG
rnacentral:lncRNA from 1 species